UGCAAGUCGAACGGUAAGGCCCUUCGGGGUACACGAGUGGGCGAACGGGUGAGUAACACGUGGGUGAUCUGCCCUGCACUUCGGGAUAAGCCUGGGAAACUGGGUCUAAUACCGGAUAGGACCAUGGACUUCACGGUUUGUGGUGGAAAGCUUUUGCGGUGUGGGAUGGGCCCGCGGCCUAUCAGCUUGUUGUGGGGUAAUGGCCUACCAAGGCGACGACGGGUAGCCGGCCUGAGAGGGUGUCCGGCCACACUGGGACUGAGAUACGGCCCAGACUCCUACGGGAGGCAGCAGUGGGGAAUAUUGCACAAUGGGCGCAAGCCUGAUGCAGCGACGCCGCGUGAGGGAUGACGGCCUUCGGGUUGUAAACCUCUUUCAAUAGGGACGAAGCGCAAGUGACGGUACCUAUAGAAGAAGCACCGGCUAACUACGUG
rnacentral:rRNA from 1 species